rnacentral:rRNA from 1 species
UACGUAGGGGGCGAGCGUUGUCCGGAUUUAUUGGGCGUAAAGAGCUCGUAGGCGGUUCGAUAAGUCGGAUGUGAAAUCUCCACGCUCAACGUGGAGAGGCCAUUCGAUACUGUCGUGACUCGAGUCCGGUAGGGGAGUGUGGAAUUCCCGGUGUAGCGGUGAAAUGCGCAGAGAUCGGGAGGAACACCCGUAGCGAAGGCGGCACUCUGGGACGGUACUGACGCUGAGACGCGAAAGCGUGGGGAGCGAACAGG